rfam:Candidatus Bathyarchaeota archaeon B63 scaffold12844, whole genome shotgun sequence.
GCUGCCGGCCAUAGGGCGCGGGAACCACCCGAACCCAUUCCGAACUCGGAAGUUAAACCGCGCUCCGUCCCUAGCGGUAGUGCAGUCUUCGGCUGCGCGAAGCUAGGGAAGCCGGCAGCC